AUUGAUGGCUAUAGCACAAUGAACAUAACCAAUAUAAACUGAUGUCUGAUCUCUAAAGCUAAUCCAGGUGGGGUCUGGUUAGUACUUGGAUGGGAUACUGCUUGGGAAUACUAGGUGUCACAGGC
rnacentral:rRNA from 1 species